rnacentral:rRNA from 1 species
ACGCCGCGUGGAGGAUGAAGGCCUUGGGUUGUAAACUCCUGUCGGCUGGGAAGAAAUCGUGCGGUGCUCAUACCACCGUACGUUGACUGUACCAGCAAAGGAAGCCCCGGCUAACUCUGUGCCAGCAGCCGCGGUAAUACAGAGGGGGCUAGCGUUAUUCGGAAUUAUUGGGCGUAAAGGGCGCGUAGGCGGCCAUGCGUGUCUUCCGUGAAAUCCCUCGGCUUAACUGAGGACGUGCGGAAGAAACUGCAAGGCUCGAGUCCGGGAGAGGGGGGUGGAAUUCCCAGUGUAGCGGUGAAAUGCGUAGAUAUUGGGAGGAACACCGGUGGCGAAGCGGCCCCCUGGACGGUACUGACGCUGAGGCGCGAAACGUGGGUACAAACGGGAUUAGAUACCCGGUAGUCCCGCCGUAACGAUGGCACUUGGUGUCGCGGGUAUCGACCCUGCGGUGCCGAA